rnacentral:rRNA from 1 species
UACGAAGGGAGCUAGCGUUGUUCGGAAUCACUGGGCGUAAAGCGCACGUAGGCGGAUGUGUCAGUCAGGGGUGAAAUCCCGGAGCUCAACUUCGGAACUGCCCUUGAUACAGCACAUCUUGAGUCCGGAAGAGGUGGGGUGGAAUUCCUAGUGUAGAGGUGAAAUUCGUAGAUAUUAGGAAGAACACCGGUGGCGAAGGCGGGUCUCUGGGCCGAUAUUGACGCUGAGGAGCGAAAGCGUGGGGAGCAAACAGG